GAACGCUGGCGGNGUGCUUUAACACAUGCAAGUCGAACGGACUUUUUAAUGAAGCCUAGCGAUUUAAAAGUUAGUGGCGGACGGGUGAGUAACGCGUGGGUAACCUGCCUUAUACAGGGGGAUAACACUUAGAAAUAGGUGCUAAUACCGCAUUAAGCGCACAGUAUCGCAUGAUACAGUGUGAAAAACUCCGGUGGUAUAAGAUGGACCCGCGUCUGAUUAGCUAGUUGGUGAGGUAACGGCUCACCAAGGCGACGAUCAGUAGCCGGACUGAGAGGUUUGACCGGCCACAUUGGGACUGAGAUACGGCCCAGACUCCUACGGGAGGCAGCAGUGGGGAAUAUUGGGCAAUGGGCGCAAGCCUGACCCAGCAACGCCGCGUGAAGGAAGAAGGCCUUCGGGUUGUAAACUUCUUUUAUGAGGGACGAAGACAUGACGGUACCUCAUGAAUAAGCCACGGCUAACUACGUG
rnacentral:rRNA from 1 species